CCCUUAGAUGUUCUGGGCCGCACGCGUGCUACACUGAGUGGAUCAGCGGGUCAGGUUGCGCGAAAGUGUUUCCUAAUCUUGAAAUCCGCUCGUGAUGGGGAUUGACGGUUGCAAUUUUCCGUCAUGAACGAGGAAUACCUUGUAAGCGCGGGUCAUCAUCCCGCGCUGAAUACGUCCCUGCCCUUUGUACACACCGCCCGUCGCUACUACCGAUUGGAUGGCUUAGUGAGACCCUCGGACCGAUAGGCUGUCGCCGCGGCAACGUGGCGACCGGCCCGUCGGGAAGAAGGUCAAAUUUGACUGUCUAGAGGAAGUAAAAGUCGUAACA
rnacentral:rRNA from 1 species